CAGUCGCCACGGUAAUACGAAGGGCGCAAGCGUUACUCGGAAUUAUUGGGCGUAAAGCGUGUGUAGGUGGUUGCUUAAGUCUGUCGUGAAAGCCCUGGGCUCAACCUGGGAAUGGCAGUGGAUACUGGCUCGCUAGAGUGUGUCAGAGGAUGGUGGAAUUCCCGGUGUAGCGGUGAAAUGCGUAGAGAUCGGGAGGAACAUCAGUGGCGAAGGCGGCCAUCUGGGACAACACUGACGCUGAGGCACGAAAGCGUGGGGAGCAAACAGGAUUAGAUACCCCAGUAGUCCCUGUCUCUUAUAC
rnacentral:rRNA from 1 species